rnacentral:rRNA from 1 species
UACGUAGGGAGCAAGCGUUGUCCGGAAUCAUUGGGCGUAAAGCGCGCGUAGGUGGCCAUAUAAGUCCGCUGUGAAAGUCAAAGGCUCAACCUUUGAAAGCCGGUGGAUACUGUGUGGCUAGAGUACGGAAGAGGCGAGUGGAAUUCCUGGUGUAGCGGUGGAAUGCGCAGAUAUCAGGAGGAACACCAAUAGCGAAGGCAGCUCGCUGGGACGUUACUGACACUGAGGCGCGAAAGCGUGGGGAGCGAACAGG